rnacentral:rRNA from 1 species
GAUCUAUCCAUGGCCAGGUUGAAGGUGCCGUAACAGGUACUGGAGGACCGAACCCACGCAUGUUGCAAAAUGCGGGGAUGAGCUGUGGAUAGGGGUGAAAGGCUAAACAAACUCGGAGAUAGCUGGUUCUCCCCGAAAACUAUUUAGGUAGUGCCUCGAGCAAGACACUGAUGGGGGUAAAGCACUGUUAUGGCUAGGGGGUUAUUGCAACUUACCAACCCAUGGCAAACUAAGAAUACCAUCAAGUGGUUCCUCGGGAGACAGACAGCGGGUGCUAACGUCCGUUGUCAAGAGGGAAACAACCCAGACCGCCAGCUAAGGUCCCAAAUGAUAGAUUAAGUGGUAAACGAAGUGGGAAGGCCCAGACAGCCAGGAUGUUGGCUUAGAAGCAGCCAUCAUUUAAAGAAAGCGUAAUAGCUCACUGGUCGAGUCGUCCUGCGCGGAAGAUGUAACGGGGCUCAAAUCUAUAACCGAAGCUGCGGAUGCUAGUUUACUGGCAUGGUAGGGGAGCGUUCUGUAGGCCGAUGAAGGUGCAUUGUAAAGUGUGCGGGAGGUAUCAGAAGUGCGAAUGUUGACAUGAGUAGCGAUAAAGCGGGUGAAAAGCCCGCUCGCCGAAAGCCCAAGGUUUCCUACGCAACGUUCAUCGGCGUAGGG